rnacentral:rRNA from 2 species
AGGCUACAUGAUCACGGUACCGGGAUAGGUCGAUUCGAGAGGAGCCUGAGCACGUUACACAUCUAGAGCAGCAGCGGCAGUACCCAUUCCGACACGGGGAGGUAGUGACAUAAAUACUGAUACAGGGCUCUUUGGGUCUGUAAUGGAAUGAGUACAAUCCAAAUCCCUUAACGAGGACAAUUGGAGGGCAAGUCUGGUGGACACUCAGUCUUCUGCUGACGCCAGAGAUAGUAGGGGCGCGAGUAGGGCUUCGUCGCCUUUGCUGCGGUUAUGCCUGCUAGUCGAGCAUCCGCGACAGCGGUGGGUGGAUGCCGGCGAGGUGACCUGGUACGGGGAAACCUAAGGGCGCGAGCCUAUGGUAAUCCCGUGGCGAGCCCCCCCCCCAGAGCGGGUUGGAGGGGGGCCGUCGUAACGCGCGGAAAGGCACCGGCUACCCAACGUGGUGGCUCGAGGGACGUGCUGACCCUCCCGAAAGGGAGCCUUCAACUGGAGCGCCCGCCGCGCAAAGGUUGAGGGGGGCCUUCGUGGCCUGGAUUCACCCGACAUUCGGGUGCAAACAAUCGGCCAGCAGCCGCGGUAAUUCCAGCUCCAAUAGCGUAUAUUAAAGUUGUUGCAGUUAAAAAGCUCGUAGUUGAACCUUGGGCCAGGCUGGCCGGUCCGCCUAACCGCGUGCACUGGUCCGGCCGGGCCCUUUCCUCUGGGGAGCCGCAUGCCCUUCACUGGGCGUGUCGGGGAACCAGGACUUUUACUUUGAAAAAAUUAGAGUGUUCAAAGCAGGCCUUUGCUCGGAUACAUUAGCAUGGAAUAAUAGAAUAGGACGUGCGGUCCUAUUUUGUUGGUUUCUAGAACCGCCGUAAUGAUUAAUAGGGACAGUCGGGGGCAUCAGUAUUCAGACGCGAGAGGUGAAAUUCUUAGACCGUCUGAAGACUAACUACUGCGAAAGCAUUUGCCAAGGAUGUUUUCAUUAAUCAGUGAACGAAAGUUGGGGGAUCGAAGACGAUCAGAUACCGUCGUAGUCUCAACCGUAAACUAUGCCGACUAGGGAUCGGGCGACGUUCCAAUUAUGACUCGCCCGGCACCUUACGAGAAAUCAAAGUCUUUGGGUCUGGGG